rfam:Actinokineospora spheciospongiae strain EG49 contig1274_7, whole genome shotgun sequence.
CGGGCGGUGAAGUCCCAGAUCCGCUCCUCCAGCAGGCCCCACUGGUCGAAGUAGUCGCCGUCGGCGACCACGCCCACCACCGCCUCCUCGCCGUACUGGCCCGCGGCGUGCUGCUCGACCCGGCCGUGCGCGAUGACCAGGAACCGGUCCUCGGCGUGGCCCCACUCGACGAUGGUGUCGCCCGCGGCGUAGGUCUCCUCGGCGAACAGGUUCGCCAGCGCGCCCAGGGUCUCCUCGUCGUCGAACUCGCGCAGGAACGCCAGUUCGCGCAGGUCACCGGCGAUCACCCGGGACUGCGAGCCGCUGCGGUCGACGUCGAUGCGGCCGUCGCCGACGACGUAGCUGCGCCGCUGGUUCACCCGGUAGGUGCCGCCGCUGACCUGCACCCACGGCAGGACGCGCAGCAGCCAGCGGGAGGUGAUCUCCUGCAUCUGCGGCACGGACUUGGUCGUGGUCGCGAGGUUUCUCGCCGCCGCCGUCCCCAGGGACUGCUGCGACGGCUGCGC